rnacentral:tRNA from 1 species
AAUGGAUUAAAUUCCUCUUUAGA